AUUGAACGCUGGCGGCACGCCUAACACAUGCAAGUCGAGCGGCAGCGCGAUAUGUAGCAAUACAUAUUGGCGGCGAGCGGCGGACGGGUGAGGAACACGUAGGAACCUACCCUCGAGUGGGGGAUAACCAAGGGAAACUUUGGCUAAUACCGCAAGAUUGCGAGAGAGCAAAGCUGCCGCAAGGUGGCGCCCGAGGAGGGUCCGGCGUCCGAUUAGCUAGUUGGUGAGGUAAGAGCUCACCAAGGCGAUGAUCGGUAACUGGUCUGAGAGGAGGACCAGUCACACUGGGACUGAGACACGGCCCAGACUCCUACGGGAGGCAGCAGUGGGGAAUAUUGGACAAUGGGGGCAACCCUGAUCCAGCGAUGGCGCGUGAGUGAAGAAGGCCUUCGGGUCGUAAAGCUCUUUAGGUUGGGAAGAAGAGUGAUGGAGGAAAUGCUAUCACUUUGACGGUACCGACAGAAUAAGCACCGGCAAACUCUGUGCCAGCCGCCGCAGUAACAC
rnacentral:rRNA from 1 species